rnacentral:rRNA from 1 species
AGCCCAACAGCUAGCCCAACCCCUUAAAACAAAACAAUCCUUAUUUAUAACCCCUCAUGCACUAAACACGACAAACAAACCAUUUUACCCUCUUAGUAUGGG